AUAAGAGUGAGGUUUGGAAUCCUAUCAACUUUAUUGGUAGGUUUAGUAGUAAAAUUGCCAUUCAUUAUCUGAAAAUAUUGGUCCCAAUUGAUUAAUAAUUUGUUCAUAUUAUAUAUGUUGGAAAAAAUCAGAAAAUACAUAUUUACGAUAUCUAUCAGGUGAUGAAUAACGGUUUUGAUUUUGUAGAUAACAAUGUACCAAUAUCGAGCAGUACAGUAAGAGCUGAGCUCAGUAACAAACCCAUAUUCAGGAGCCGAGGGAGCUGCAGUAUAUUCAACCAGAAGCUGAACGAGUAGGAAACGCUCUGUCUAUUCCUGAUCAGACCAACCUAUAUAGCAUACUUAUAUUAGCUCAGAAAGAAUUAAGGCAAUUGCGGUCAAGCCCAGAAGUUUUGAAGAAACUUAAUUAGAAUAUCAUUUAGUGAUAGAGGCACUUGCCGUCAAACCCAGAAGUUUUGAAGAAAUUUAAAUAGAAACAAAGUAUCUAAACAAUACAAACUGUACAUCAAAUGUAUGUUU